UUGGAUAUUUAAAAAUGAUAU
rnacentral:piRNA from 1 species